AUUGAACGCUGGCGGCAGGCCUAACACAUGCAAGUCGAGCGGCGCGGCGGACGGGUGAGUAAUGCCUAGGAAUCUGUCUGGUAGUGGGGGAUAACGUCCGGAAACGGGCGCUAAUACCGCAUACUAUCAGAUGAGCCUAGGUCGGUUUAGCUAGUGGGGGGGGUAAAGGCCUACCAAGGCGACGCACCGUAACUGGUCUGAGAGGAUGAUCAGUCACACGUGAACUGAGACACGGUCCAGACUCCCACGGGAGGCAGCAGUGGGGAAUAUGGGACAAUGGGCGAAAGCCUGAUCCAGCCAUGCCGCGGGUGUGAAGAAGGGCUUCGGAUUGGAAAGCACUUUAAGUUGGGAGGCGUUACCAACAGAAUAAGCACCGGCUAACUUCGUGCCAGCAGCCGCGGUAAUUC
rnacentral:rRNA from 1 species